AGUGAAGUGCCUGAAAAAAGGGUAAUCUUGAUAGGAUUAAUAAUGUGACUAAUUUCACCUACACUA
rnacentral:tRNA from 1 species